rnacentral:rRNA from 1 species
GACGAACGCCGGCGGCGUGCUUAACACAUGCAAGUCGAACGGAAAGGCCCUGCUUUUGUGGGGUGCUCGAGUGGCGAACGGGUGAGUAACACGUGAGUAACCUGCCCUUGACUUUGGGAUAACUUCAGGAAACUGGGGCUAAUACCGGAUAGGAGCUCCUGCUGCAUGGUGGGGGUUGGAAAGUUUCGGCGGUUGGGGAUGGACUCGCGGCUUAUCAGCUUGUUGGUGGGGUAGUGGCUUACCAAGGCUUUGACGGGUAGCCGGCCUGAGAGGGUGACCGGCCACAUUGGGACUGAGAUACGGCCCAGACUCCUACGGGAGGCAGCAGUGGGGAAUAUUGCACAAUGGGCGGAAGCCUGAUGCAGCAACGCCGCGUGCGGGAUGACGGCCUUCGGGUUGUAGACCGCUUUCGCCUGUGACGAAGCGUGAGUGACGGUAAUGGGUAAAGAAGCACCGGCUAACUACGUG